AUAGUUCUUCAUUCAGGUUGUUCACGCGAGACGGAGCACCUAAUCGACUAUUGCCUUAUUCGAUGAUAGUUUAAGUAUGAUAUUGCUUAUAGCGAUGAGUGCGACUUAUGUAAUCAGUUAGCUAAUCCCUAAUAAGUUGAGACUCGCUUCUAGCCUCGAUUAUCACUAGCUAUGGCUUGAGGAUAACCUUCAUGAUUCAUGUAUGAACUUCAGAGUUAGACUUACGAGGGGUCAAAAUGCUUUGUAUAU
rnacentral:lncRNA from 1 species